rnacentral:rRNA from 1 species
AAUCUUCCGCAAUGGACGCAAGUCUGACGGAGCAACGCCGCGUGAGUGAUGAAAGUUUUCUGAUCGUAAAACUCUGUUGUUAGAGAAGAACACGUACCGUUUGAAGAAGGCGGUACCUUGACGGUACCUAACGAGAAAGCCCCUGCUAACUACGUGCCAGCAGCCGCGGCAAUCCGUAGGGGGCAAGCGCUGGCCGGAAUUAUUGGGCGUAAAGCGCGCGCAGGCGGUCUUUUAAGUCUGAUGUGAAAGCCCACGGCUCAACCGUGGAGGGUCAUUGGAAACUGGGAGACUUGAGUGUAGGAGAGGAAAGUGGAAUUCCACGUGUAGCGGUGAAAUGCGUAGAGAUGUGGAGGAACACCAGUGGCGAAGGCGACUUUCUGGCCUACAACUGACGCUGAGGCGCGAAAGCGUGGGUAGCGAACAG